rnacentral:misc_RNA from 1 species
UUGAAAUAAACCUGAUGGGCUGUCGCUGGUUCUCCAGGGAACAUGUGCACGCCUUGUCAUCUUUAUGUCUCCACCUGUGCAUCUUUUGUAGACUCUCCUCUCUCCGGGAGGGUUUAUGUUUGCUUCAUUUGCCCCUCCAAUGUAUGUUGAUAGAAUGUAUGUGUGCAUAAUGAAAUCUAUA